rnacentral:lncRNA from 1 species
CUUUCUAUUCAUGACAUUUCUAUCUGAUCUCUGGUUGAUACAGGUGCUAUCCACUCUUUUAUUUGUUCUUCAUUUGCUUAUAAAUUAGAUAUUAGGCCUGAACGUUUAAAUAAAUUAUUAGUAGUAAAAACUCCCUCUAGAGGUUUAUCAGAAGCUCAUUGUGUGUAUAAAAAUAGUAAAAUAAAAGCUUUAGGAGUAGAAUUGUUAGUAGACCUUAUACUUUUAGAU